rnacentral:misc_RNA from 1 species
AACACUGUUAACCUGCGGUACCUGCGGAGGGAUCAUUACCGAGUUUACAACUCCCAAACCCCUGUGAACAUACCACUUGUUGCCUCGGCGGAUCAGCCCGCUCCCGGUAAGACGGGACGGCCCGCCAGAGGACCCCUAAACUCUGUUUCUAUAUGUAACUUCUGAGUAAAACCAUAAAUAAAUCAAAACUUUCAACAACGGAUCU